AACCGUCCAGUGGCCUAGUGAUUAAAGUGUAUGCCUCAGAUGUGGGAGGUCACGGGUUCGAACCCCGGCUGAGUCA